rnacentral:rRNA from 1 species
CUAGUUGGCGGGGUAAUGGCCCACCAAGGCGAUGACGGCUACCGGGUCUGAGAGGACGGUCCGGCACACUGGGACUGAGACACUGCCCAGACUCCUACGGGAGGCUGCAGUCGAGAAUCUUCCGCAAUGGGCGCAAGCCUGACGGAGCGACACCGCGUGCAAGAUGAAGGCCUUCGGGUUGUAAACUGCUGUCACGUUUUAGGAACGAACGGGCGUUAACAGCGCUCGGACUGACCAAGGCGAGAGGAAGCACCGGCUAACUCUGUGCCAGCAGCCGCGGUAAGACAGAGGGUGCAAACGUUGUUCGGAAUUACUGGGCAUAAAGAGCACGUAGGUGGUGCGCUAAGUCACGUGUGAAAUCCCCCGGCUCAACCGGGGAAUGGCGCGUGAUACUGGCGGACUCGAGGCGGGUAGGGGUGAGCGGAACUCCAGGUGGAGCGGUGAA